rnacentral:miRNA from 1 species
AUCGACCUCUUUGACCAGAAGGGGUUCCUUCCGGUCAACGCCUCGUUGAUCGGAAGGAACCCCUUCCGAUCAAAGAGGUAGAU